UGCCUGAUGGAGGGGGAUAACUACUGGAAACGGUAGCUAAUACCGCAUAACGUCUCAGACCAAAGAGGGGGACCUUCGGGCCUCUUGCCAUCGGAUGUGCCCAGAUGGGAUUAGCUAGUAGGUGGGGUAACGGCUCACCUAGGCGACGAUCCCUAGCUGGUCUGAGAGGAUGACCAGCCACACUGGAACUGAGACACGGUCCAGACUCCUACGGGAGGCAGCAGUGGGGAAUAUUGCACAAUGGGCGCAAGCCUGAUGCAGCCAUGCCGCGUGUAUGAAGAAGGCCUUCGGGUUGUAAAGUACUUUCAGCGGGGAGGAAGGGAGUAAAGUUAAUACCUUUGCUCAUUGACGUUACCCGCAGAAGAAGCACCGGCUAACUCCGUGCCAGCAGCCGCGGUAAUACGGAGGGUGCAAGCGUUAAUCGGAAUUACUGGGCGUAAAGCGCACGCAGGCGGUUUGUUAAGUCAGAUGU
rnacentral:rRNA from 1 species